rnacentral:rRNA from 1 species
UACGUAGGUGGCAAGCGUUAUCCGGAAUUAUUGGGCGUAAAGAGCGCGCAGGUGGUUGAUUAAGUCUGAUGUGAAAGCCCACGGCUUAACCGUGGAGGGUCAUUGGAAACUGGUCGACUUGAGUGCAGAAGAGGGAAGUGGAAUUCCAUGUGUAGCGGUGAAAUGCGUAGAGAUAUGGAGGAACACCAGUGGCGAAGGCGGCUUCCUGGUCUGUAACUGACACUGAGGCGCGAAAGCGUGGGGAGCAAACAGGAUUAGAUACCCGGGUA